AGUCGAGCGGUUUAUUUUAGCUUGCUAGAAUAGAUAGCGGCGAACGGGUGAGUAAAGCUUAGGAAUCUGGCUAUUAGUGGGGGACAACGUUUCGAAAGGGACGCUAAUACCGCAUACGUCCUACGGGAGAAAGCAGGGGAUCAGUAAUGACCUUGCGCUAAUAGAUGAGCCUAAGUCGGAUUAGCUAGUUGGUGGGGUAAAGGCCUACCAAGGCGACGAUCUGUAGCGGGUCUGAGAGGAUGAUCCGCCACACUGGGACUGAGACACGGCCCAGACUCCUACGGGAGGCAGCAGUGGGGAAUAUUGGACAAUGGGGGGAACCCUGAUCCAGCCAUGCCGCGUGUGUGAAGAAGGCCUUAUGGUUGUAAAGCACUUUAAGCGAGGAGGAGGGUACUGGUAUUAAUACUACCAGCUACUGGACGUUACUCGCAGAAUAAGCACCGGCUAACUCUGUGCCAGCAGCCGCGGUAAUACAGAGGGUGCGAGCGUUAAUCGGAUUUACUGGGCGUAAAGCGUGCGUAG
rnacentral:rRNA from 1 species